GAUGAACGCUGGCGGCGUGCCUAAUACAUGCAAGUCGAGCGAACAGAUAAGGAGCUUGCUCCUUUGACGUUAGCGGCGGACGGGUGAGUAACACGUGGGUAACCUACCUAUAAGACUGGGAUAACUUCGGGAAACCGGAGCUAAUACCGGAUAACAUUUGGAACCGCAUGGUUCUAAAGUGAAAGAUGGUUUUGCUAUCACUUAUAGAUGGACCCGCGCCGUAUUAGCUAGUUGGUAAGGUAACGGCUUACCAAGGCGACGAUACAUAGCCGACCUGAGAGGGUGAUCGGCCACACUGGAACUGAGACACGGUCCAGACUCCUACGGGAGGCAGCAGUAGGGAAUCUUCCGCAAUGGGCGAAAGCCUGACGGAGCAACGCCGCGUGAGUGAUGAAGGGUUUCGGCUCGUAAAACUCUGUUAUUAGGGAAGAACAAAUGUGUAAGUAACUGUGCACGUCUUGACGGUACCUAAUCAGAAAGCCACGGCUAACUACGUG
rnacentral:rRNA from 1 species